UUGAUUUAGGGUUUCGUGAGAAUCGAGGUAGGGAUCUGUGUUAUUUAUAUCGAUCUAAUAGAUGGAUUGGUUUUGAGAUUGUUCUGUCAGAUGGGGAUUGUUUCGAUAUAUUACCCUAAUGAUGUGUCAGAUGGGGAUUGUUUCGAUAUAUUACCCUAAUGAUGUGUCAGAUGGGGAUUGUUUCGAUAUAUUACCCUAAUGAUGGAUAAUAAGAGUAGUUCACAGUUAUGUUUUGAUCCUGCCACAUAGUUUGAGUUUUGUGAUCAGAUUUAGUUUUACUUAUUUGUGCUUAGUUCGGAUGGGAUUGUUCUGAUAUUGUUCCAAUAGAUGAAUAGCUCGUUAGGUUA
rnacentral:lncRNA from 1 species